rnacentral:rRNA from 1 species
UUAGUGGCGAACGGGUGAGUAACGCGUGAGUAACCUGCCCUANAGNGGGGGACAACAGUUGGAAACGACCGCUAAUACCGCAUAANCCCNCNGGACCGCAUGGNNCUGANGGAAAAGGAUUUAUUCGCUUUANGAUGGACUCGCGUCCNAUUAGCUAGUUGGUGAGGUAACGGCCCACCAAGGCGACGAUUGGUAGCCGGACUGAGAGGUUGAACGGCCACAUUGGGACUGAGACACGGCCCAGACUCCUACGGGAGGCAGCAGUGGGGGAUAUUGCACAAUGGGGGAAACCCUGAUGCAGCGACGCCGCGUGNAGGAAGAAGGUUUUCGGAUUGUAAACUCCUGUCGNUNGGGACGAUAAUGACGGUACCUNNYWAGAAAGCNCCGGCUAACUACGUGCCAGCAGCCGCGGUAAAACGUAGGGNGCAAGCGUUGUCCGGAAUUACUGGGUGUAAAGGGAGCGCAGGCGGGAAGACAAGUUGGAAGUGAAAACCAUGGGCUCAACCCAUGAAUUGCUUUUNAACUGUUUUUCUUGAGUAGNGCAGAGGUAGAUGGAAUUCCCGGUGUAGCGGUGGAAUGCGUAGAUAUCGGGAGGAACACCAGUGGCGAAGGCGGUCUACUGGGCACCAACUGACGCUGAGGCUCGAAAGCAUGGGUAGCAAACAGGAWUAGAUACCCUGGUAGUCCAUGCCGUAAACGAUGAUUACUUGGUGU